rnacentral:snRNA from 1 species
GGAUGUGAGGGCGGUCUGGCUGCGACAUCUGUCACCCCAUUGAUCGUCAGGGUUGAUUCUGUUGAUCUGGCUGGCUAGGCGAGUGUCCCGUUCCUCCUUCACCACUCCAUGUGCAUCCCUCCCGAAGAGGAAGACCUUCCCCAAAUAGAGAGGGACUGGUCUUCAGUCUAGCGUAUACGAGUAGCUAGAACCUCCAAACAGGCUCUCAAGCCGGAGCCUAAAGAAGUAUCUUUAUGGUCUGUUCACCAUUUCAGAACUUUGGAAAUAGAUCGGUUAUUUCAUUAGGAAGAAACAUCUGAAUGACUGAUGAUAGAU